rnacentral:rRNA from 1 species
GAUGAACGCUAGCGACAGGCCUAACACAUGCAAGUCGAGGGGUAACAUGGCGGGUUUCCGCCGAUGACGACCGGCGCACGGGUGAGCAACGCGUAUGAAACCUGCCCCUGACCGGGGGACAGCCCGGAGAAAUCCGGAUUAAUACCCCGCGGUCCCGCCGCGCCGCAUGGCGCGGCGGGCAAAGCUUCGGCGGUGAGGGAUGGUCAUGCGUGGCAUUAGGUAGUGGUGGGGCAGCGGCCCACCAAGCCGACGAUGCC